rnacentral:lncRNA from 1 species
GUACAUGAAAGUGUGUAUGAUCAAUUUGUAGAGAAAGCAAAUGCUCUUGCAAUGAAACGUGUUGUUGGUGAUCCGUUCAAGGGAGGAAUCCAACAAGGACCUCAGGUAAACCAGUGACAUUUGUCGACAAUGGUAUCUGAUCUGUUAUAAUUGCAUUUUUUAUUUUUUAAUUGUUUUUUUCACUAUUGCUCCCUUCAUGUGCAUGAGGGACUAUUUUAUUACUAAAUUCAGUUUAACACAAUCUCAACAGAAACAAUUAUUCUGAUGAAAGAUUGUAGUAUCAACGAAAGACUAGUGACAAUUGUCAAAUCUGUCCCUGCAAAAUUACUCAUUUAUGCUUUCAAUUUUAAGAAGUUAAGUUGGUAGCUGUUAUUUGGGACCCUGAUUAGAGUCUGCUCAAAUAGAUUGAUUCAGAACAAUUUGAGAAAAUUCUGAAGUACAUAAGAUCCGGUGUUGAUGGUGGAGCAAAACUCGAGACAGGAGGGGAGAGACUUGGCGCCAAGGGAUACUACAUCAAGCCCACGGUUUUCACCGGUGUCAAGGUACUUAUUUUGAUAUCCCCAGCAUCCAUUUCUCCAAAUAUUUUGCAUACAUUUAAUGGAGAGAAUUUUGUGUAGGAUGAUAUGUUGAUAGCAAAAGAUGAGAUAUUUGGUCCGGUGCAGUCCAUCUUGAAAUACAAGUAAGCAAUGAAUUUUGUCAAGGCUUGUCGUCAUCGGAUGGGUUUUCCUUUCCAGAUGUUAACGGCAUUGCUGUUUGGCUGCAGGGACCUCGAUGAAGUUAUUCAAAGAUCAAAUGCAUCUCAGUAUGGAUUGGCUGCAGGGGUGUUUACGCACAACUUGGACACUGCUAAUACUCUGAUGCGUGCAU